rnacentral:rRNA from 1 species
GUGGGGAAUAUUGGACAAUGGGCGAAAGCCUGAUCCAGCAAUGCCGCGUGAAUGAUGAAGGCCUUAGGGUUGUAAAGUUCUUUUAGCAGGGAAGAUAAUGACGGUACCUGCAGAAAAAGCCCCGGCUAACUCCGUGCCAGCAGCCGCGGUAAGACGGAGGGGGCUAGCGUUGUUCGGAAUUACUGGGCGUAAAGAGCGCGUAGGCGGUUUGAUAAGUUGGAAGUGAAAGCCCGGGGCUUAACCUCGGAAUUGCUUUCAAAACUGUCAAUCUAGAGUGUAGUAGGGGAUGAUGGAAUUCCUAGUGUAGAGGUGAAAUUCUUAGAUAUUAGGAGGAACACCGGUGGCGAAGGCGGUCAUCUGGGCUACAACUGACGCUGAUGCGCGAAAGCGUGGGGAGCAAACAGG